rnacentral:rRNA from 1 species
UCGCAUCGAUGAAGAACGCAGCGAAAUGCGAUAAGUAAUGUGAAUUGCAGAAUUCAGUGAAUCAUCGAAUCUUUGAACGCACCUUGCACUCCUUGGUAUUCCGAGGAGUAUGCCUGUUUGAGUGUCAUUAAACUCUCAAUCCCAUCCAGCUUUUGUGAGCUGUGAUUGUGGCUUGGAAUGUUGGGGGUUUCUGCAGGCCUAUAGGUCAGCUCCCCUAAAAUGCAUUAGUAGAACUGUUUGC